rnacentral:rRNA from 1 species
GUUGACCUCGGAUCAGGUAGGAAUACCGCUGACUGA